CUUUAUUUCAAUUUAAUAAUAUUCAAUAGUUUUGUUUAAAAAAUCAUAUUAAAUCCACUUCUACAUUCAUUUCUUUUAAAGUAACUUACAGAGCACAAAAAGGAAUUUUGCUCCCCGUUACCCUGCCAUUGAUUUGCCUGUUAGUUUUAAGUAUGCCAAGCGAAAGGCGAAGCCAAGUCAAGCAUCCUUGAAUGGCAAGUCUACCAGGACGAAAGGAGAUCUGCGCGGUGGCAUGUCUCGAGUGCUAAAAUGGAUUGCUAGAUGUCAUCGGCUCAAAAAUUCCAUGCCACGGUAUAAUUGGUUUGAUAAUAUAUACAGGGAUUGAUUUUCAA